UGGGGAAUUUUGCGCAAUGGGCGAAAGCCUGACGCAGCGACGCCGCGUGUGCGAUGAAGGCCCUUGGGUCGUAAAGCACUGUCGACCGGGACGAAAACUCGCGAGUUAAUACCUCGCGAGCUUGACGGUACUGGUAAAGGAAGCACCGGCUAACUCUGUGCCAGCAGCCGCGGUAAUACAGAGGGUGCAAACGUUGCUCGGAAUUAUUGGGCGUAAAGCGCGUGUAGGCGGUCUGUUAGGCCGACCGUGAAAUCCCAUGGCUCAACCAUGGAAGGGCGGUCGGAACCGGCAGACUAGAGUUCUGACGAGGGUGGCGGAAUUCCCAGUGUAGAGGUGAAAUUCGUAGAUAUUGGGAGGAACACCGGUGGCGAAGGCGGCCACCUGGGAAGCGACUGACGCUGAGACGCGAAAGCGUGGGGAGCAAACAG
rnacentral:rRNA from 1 species